UAUCUAUGAUUAUCUUAUCCUGAACCUGAAUUUCUGUUGCAAAAAAAACAAUAUAUGCCGAAACCAGUUUGGCUCAGUGGAU